rnacentral:lncRNA from 1 species
GUGGUGGUAGCAGUGGUAGUGGUAGCGGUAGUGGUGGUAGUAGCAGUAGUAGUAGUAGUAGUAGUAGCAGUAGUAGUAGUAGUAGUAGUAGUAGUAGUAGUAGUAGUAGUAGUAGUAGCAGUAGCAGCAGCAGCAGUAGCAGCAGGAGCAGUAGCAGUGCAACCAUUUUUUUAAAAGAAAGUUACUACAAUGUAAUGUCUAAGCGUUACUCAUGUGAAUGCUCUCAUUAAAACACAACAAUACUUACUGAAACAUCUCCUAUUCUAAACUCCCUUUACCCAGUAGGUAUUAACUAGGGAAUGACCAGUAGGUAUUAACUAGGGAAUGACCAGUAGGUAUUAACUAGGGAACCUUUACCCAGUAGGUAUUAACUAGGGAAUGACCAGUAGGUAUUAACUAGGGAAUGACCAGUAGGUAUUAACUAGGGAACCUUUACCCAGUAGGUAUUAACUAGGGAAUGACCAGUAGGUAUUAACUAGGGAAUGACCAGUAGGUAUUAACUAGGGAACCUUUACCCAGUAGGUAUUAACUAGGGAAUGACCAGUAGGUAUUAACUAGGGAAUGACCAGUAGGUAUUAACUAGGGAACCUUUACCCAGUAGGUAUUAACUAGGGAAUGACCAGUAGGUAUUAACUAGGGAAUGACCAGUAG